AGAGUUUGAUCCUGGCUCAGGAUGAACGCUAGCGGCAGGCUUAACACAUGCAAGUCGAGGGGCAGCAUGUCCAGCAAUGGAUGAUGGCGACCGGCGGAAGGGUGCGUAACGCGUGAGCAACAUGCCCUAUACAGGGAGAUACACCAGGGAAACUUGGUCUAAUAUCCCAUAGCAUUCAUUGAAGGCAUCUUUAAUGAAUUAAAGCUUCGGUGGUAUAGGAUUGGCUCGCGUGACAUUAGCCAGAUGGUGAGGUAACGGCUCACCAUAGCAAUGAUGUCUAGGGGUUUUGAGAGGAGGGCCCCCCACACUGGGACUGAGACACGGCCCAGACUCCUACGGGAGGCAGCAGUGAGGAAUAUUGGACAAUGGAUGGAAAUCUGAUCCAGCCAUGCCGCGUGCAGGAAGACGGCCUUAUGGGUUGUAAACUGCUUUUAUACGGGAGCAAUAAGGGUUACGAGUAAUCCGAUGAGAGUACUGUAUGAAUAAGGAUCGGCUAACUCCGUGCCAGCAGCCGCGGUAAUACGGGGGAUGCGAGCGUUAUCCGGAUUUAUUGGGUUUAAAGGGUGCGUAGGCGGAAAUGUAAGUCAGUGGUGAAAUCCUGCAGCUUAACUGUAGAAUAGCCGUUGAAACUGUGUUUCUUGAGUACAUUUGAGGUAGGCGGAAUGUGGUGUGUAGCGGUGAAAUGCAUAGAUAUACCACAGAACACCGAUUGCGAAGGCAGCUUACUAAACUGUCACUGACGCUGAUGCACGAAAGCGUGGGUAUCAAACAGGAUUAGAUACCCUGGUAGUCCACACAGUAAACGAUGAAUACUAGCUGUUUGCGAUACACUGCAAGCGGGUGAGCGAAAGCAUUAGGUAUCCCACCUGGGGAGUACGUUCGCAAGAAUGAAACUCAAAGGAAUUGACGGGGGCCCGCACAAGCGGAGGAACAUGUGGUUUAAUUCGAUGAUACGCGAGGAACCUUACCCGGGUUUGAAUUGCUGAUGGCGGUAUUUGGAGACAGAUACUUCCCUUCGGGGCGUCAGUGAAGGUGCUGCAUGGUUGUCGUCAGCUCGUGCCGUGAGGUGUCGGCUUAAGUGCCAUAACGAGCGCAACCCUUGCCGUUAGUUGCCAUCGGGUCAUGCCGGGCACUCUAUUGGGACUGCCAUCGUAAGAUGUGAGGAAGGUGGGGAGGACGUCAAAUCAGCACGGCCCUUAUGUCCGGGGCGACACACGUGUUACAAUGGGGGGUACAGUGGGAAGCUACCUGGCGACAGGUUGCGGAUCCCCAAAUCCUUUCUCAGUUCGGAUCGGAGUCUGUAACUCGACUCCGUGAAGUUGGAUUCGCUAGUAAUCGCGCAUCAGCCAUGGCGCGGUGAAUACGUUCCCGGGCCCCGCACUCACCGCCCGUCA
rnacentral:rRNA from 1 species